rnacentral:misc_RNA from 1 species
AAAAAAAAAAAAAAACCCUGUUAAGAGGAAAUUUUCUAUUGUAUAUUUCAAGAAUAAUUGCUAUACAUAUAUUUACACUUUGUAUCUAGCUAAUUAGGAAUGUAAUACCUAUGAUUAUGCUACUAAUUAGGAAUAAAAUAUCUGACAAAUAUACAGAUUUCGACUUCCCAUAACAUACCCAAAAAAAGAGAUUUCAGAUUUCUACCUGGCAACGGAACAAGUUUUUAACAGAAACAACUGAUACAUGUCAUGAAUAUUCUGUAAAAUCAGACAAUUUGACAUAAAAAAAAGACAGAAACAAAUAAUUCAAAGACACUGCAUACCU